rnacentral:lncRNA from 10 species
AGCCCAGCGGUCCCUUCAAACCGAGGCAGGGAAGCUCUACGUCUUGGGGGCCGCAUGGUGCCGAGAGCGCAGACCAGACCCGCCCCGCCUCUCCGUGCCACGCACGCGCUCGGCUCCGCGCUUAAUGCAACGCGAAUGAAAUUUGGUGCCAUCACUCGGAUCAGGGGACCUCCCUUGGGAGAUCAAUCCCCUGUCCUCCUGCUCUUUGCUCCAUGAGAAAGAUCCACCUACGAUCUCUGCUCCUCAGACCAACCAGCCCAAGGAACAUCUCACCAAUUUUAAAUCGGAUCUUCUCAGCUUAGCGGCUGAAGACUGAUGCUGCCAGAUGACUUUGGAAGCCCCCUGGACCAUCACAGAUGCCCAGCUUUGGAUAACUCUUACAGUGGAGGACAGGAAUAUCAGGUCUCUGAGCCCAAGCUAAGCCAUCAUAUCCCCUGUGACCUGCAUGUAUGCAUCCAGAUGGCCUGAAGUAACUGAAGAAUCACAAAAGAAGUGAAAAUGGCGCGUGCCUGCCUUAACUGAUGACAUUACCUUGUGAAAUUCCUUCUCCUGGCUCAUCCUGGCUCAAAAGCUCCCCCACUGAGCACCUUGUGACCCCCACUCCUGCCUAACAGAGAACAAUCCCCUUUGACUGUAAUUUCCCACUACCUACCCAAAUCCUAUAAAACGGCCCCACCCCUAUCUCCAUUCACUGACUCUUUUUGGACUCAGCCCACCUGCACCCAGGUGAAAUAAACAGCCUUGUUGCUCACACAGAA